rnacentral:rRNA from 1 species
AGACGGGGAGCACCACGAACGGGUGGAGCUUGCGGUUUAAUUGGAUCAACGCCGGAAAUCUUACCGGGACCGACAGCAAUAUGAAGGCCAGGCUGAAGACUUUGCCGGAUUAGCUGAGAGGAGGUGCAUGGCCGUCGUCAGUUCGUACUGUGAAGCAUCCUGUUAAGUCAGGCAACGAGCGAGACCCACGCCAACAGUUGCCAGCAUGUCCUCCGGGAUGAUGGGGACACUGUUGGGACCGCCUCUGCUAAAGAGGAGGAAGGAAUGGGCAACGGUAGGUCAGCAUGCCCCGAAUUAUCUGGGCUACACGCGGGCUACAAUGGGUGGGACAAUGGGUAUCGACACCGAAAGGUGAAGGCAAUCUCCUAAACCCAUCCGUAGUUCGGAUUGUGGGCUGCAACUCGCCCACAUGAAGCUGGAAUCUGUAGUAAUCGUGUCUCAAAAUGGCACGGUGAAUAUGUCCCUGCUCCUU